AGUGAACGCUGGCGGUAGGCCUAACACUUGCAAGUCGAACGGCAGCACAGUAAGAGCUUGCUCUUACGGGUGGCGAGUGGCGGACGGGUGAGGAAUACAUCGGAAUCUACUUUUUCGUGGGGGAUAACGUAGGGAAACUUACGCUAAUACCGCAUACGACCUACGGGUGAAAGCAGGGGAUCUUCGGACCUUGCGCGAUUGAAUGAGCCGAUGUCGGAUUAGCUAGUUGGCGGGGUAAAGGCCCACCAAGGCGACGAUCCGUAGCUGGUCUGAGAGGAUGAUCAGCCACACUGGAGCUGAGACACGGUCCAGACUCCUACGGGAGGCAGCAGUGGGGAAUAUUGGACAAUGGGCGCAAGCCUGAUCCAGCCAUACCGCGUGGGUGAAGAAGGCCUUCGGGUUGUAAAGCCCUUUUGUUGGGAAAGAAAAGCAGCAGGUUAAUACCCCGCUGUUCUGACGGUACCCAAAGAAUAAGCACCGGCUAACUUCGUG
rnacentral:rRNA from 1 species